CUGGAGAAGAGCAAUUUUCAGCACAGUUAUAUAUCAUUUCAAAACAAAGAUCCAUACAUCAAGCGUGACAGGGGUACAUUCUUUCAAGGGUUCAAGAUAAUUCUUUGUUAUAGAUGA